AUACUUACAUGGCAGGAAAGUGACCAUGAUCACAAAAGUGGUUUUCCUAGGGCAAAGCGUAUCCAUUGCACUCUGGAUGGGCUGACCCCGCGGUUUCCCCACAUGUGGGAAACUCCACUGUAUAACUAGUGGUAGUGGCGACUACAUUUGCACUCUCCUU
rnacentral:snRNA from 1 species